UACGUAGGGUGCAAGCGUUAAUCGGAAUUACUGGGCGUAAAGCGUGCGCAGGCGGUUGUGCAAGACCGAUGUGAAAUCCCCGGGCUUAACCUGGGAAUGGCAUUGGUGACUGCACGGCUAGAGUGUGUCAGAGGGUAGUGGAAUUCCCGGUGUAGUGGUGAAAUGCGUAGAUAUCGGGAGGAACACCAGUGGCGAAGGCGACUACCUGGCCUGUUCUUGACGCUGAGGCGCGAAAGCUAGGGGAGCAAACGGG
rnacentral:rRNA from 1 species